ensembl:rRNA 5S_rRNA 5S ribosomal RNA
UUUUAUGGCCACACCACUCUGAAUGUGCCCAAUCUCUUCUGAUCUCGGAAGCUAAGCAAGGUCGGGCCUGGCUAGUACUUGGAUGGGAGACCUCGGGCAUAUUUUCUAAAAGCCGUCUAUG